UACGAAGGGGGCUAGCGUUGUUCGGAAUUACUGGGCGUAGAGCGCGCGCAGGCGGCUAUCCAAGUCAGUGGUGAAAGCCCGGGGCUCAACCCCGGAAUAGCCUUUGAAACUGGAAAACUAGAAUCUUGGAGAGGUCAGUGGAAUUCCGAGUGUAGAGGUGAAAUUCGUAGAUAUUCGGAAGAACACCAGUGGCGAAGGCGACUGACUGGACAAGUAUUGACGCUGAGGUGCGAAAGCGUGGGGAGCAAACAGG
rnacentral:rRNA from 1 species